rnacentral:rRNA from 1 species
UAGGGGAAUUUUCGUCAAUGGGGGGAACCCUGAACGAGCAAUGCCGCGUGUGUGAAGAAGGUCUUCGGAUCGUAAAGCACUGUUGUAAAGUGAAGAAUGCCAUAUAGAGGAAAUGCUAUGUGGGUGACGGUAGCUUACCAGAAAGCCACGGCUAACUACGUGCCAGCAGCCGCGGUAAUACGUAGGUGGCAAGCGUUAUCCGGAAUCAUUGGGCGUAAAGGGUGCGUAGGUGGCACGAUAAGUCUGAAGUAAAAGGCAACAGCUCAACUGUUGUAUGCUUUGGAAACUGUCGAGCUAGAGUGCAGAAGAGGGCGAUGGAAUUCCAUGUGUAGCGGUAAAGUGCGUAGAUAUAUGGAGGAAACACCAGUGGCGAAGGCGGUCGCCUGGUCUGUAACUGACACUGAUGCACGAAAGGCGUGGGGGAGCAAAUAGGAUUAGAUACC